rnacentral:lncRNA from 1 species
UGGCUGCCCCACAGCACACUUGCACUGAUGUCUCAGAGGUAGAGGUAUGCAAUGUGAAUUCCUUAUUUAUUUAUUUAUUUAUUUAUUUAUUGGAACAAAGGAGUCACUUGGACCCCAGCUGGCUUUCCAGACUAGAUCCAAGGUCAGAGAGGAGGUGGGAAGAUGGGUGAAGAAAGGAAAAAUAAAGAUGGGUACUUUUAAGACAGGAAGUCUGGUGCUUGCUCAGAAGGGAGAAGAUGCUAAUAGGAAGAUGGAAGAUGCUGACAGAUGGAGCAAGAGGAAAAAUAGGGCCGGGGGCAGCUGAAGGAUGUGAGGCAUUGAGCAGAAUGGAUAAAUUUGACGGGCUGGUGCUGGACAAUUUCAUGGUUAGCUGUAGAUAUUUUUAUGGAAGCAGCAUGGCUGGGGAGUGAUUACCUAGUUCUGCACCUAAUUAACACAGUGGUUGUGCUUUUGAAGGGCGUCAGUUGGGAAAACCAACACAUUAAAAGUGCAAGAGGAGAACUGGGGAGGAGGAAGCAGGCAGACGAGAUUUCUGAUGCCAGAUAACCUCAAUUAGAGGAUCCUGAGGCAACUCCUGCCCCACAGGGGCAGGGACACUGUGCCCAACUACAGCAGGGUGUAGGGGGUACAGCUAACUACACAGGAUGCAGUGGGUAUGGGUGACAAAGGACACAGGAAACCUUUCCAGUCACAGGCUUGAUGGGAAGCAGACCUCAUUAUGGUUAAUGAAACACUGGCAUCUCCUCCCUUAGUGCUUGGCCUCUUUCGGACGCCAGCCAAACCGUAUUUUGCAGCUAUUCAACCAUGCAGAAUGUGCUGUUUAGUUUCACGCAUGUUAAGAUCAAGGCAUCAGAGGUUCUCAGGAAGCGGCACUGAUGUUUUUAAACUUAUAAAACAAAUCUAAUUGCUGGCUUUGCAGCCAGUGCGAUCGUUUGGCUGUUUCCUCCUGAGCCCCAAUGUCUAAUUUAAUUGCUGACACGUUUGUAGCUGUGCCUGCUCACGUGCUAGGGCUCUCCCAACUGCACUUACUGUCCCCACUCGACCCGUGAGCAAGUAGCGACCUGAAACACUAACUAAGCCGGUGCUGGUCACACAGGACAUCCCAAGGGCAUCCUGUGCAGGCACAGCUGGGGGAACCCCAAGACCCCUUGCCUACCCGUUCUCAGUGUGAAAACAAAGGAUUUCUUUUUCUUUUUAAAGAUUUAUUUAUUUAUUUGAAAGUCAGAGUUACACAGAGAGAGAGGAGAGAGAGAGAGAGAGAGAGAGAGAGAAAGAGAUUGGUCUUCCAUCUGUUGGUUCACUCCCCAAUCGGCCACAAUGACCGGAGCUGCGCAAAUCUGAAGCCAGGAGCCACAAGCUUCUUCUGGGUCUCCCACGCAGGUGCAGGGACCCAAGGACUUGAGAAAUCUCCACUGCUUUCGCAGGCCAUAGCAGAGAGCUGAAUCGGAAGUGAAGCAGCCGGGUCUUGAACCGGCACCCAUAUGGAUGCCAGCGCUUCAGGCCAGGGCGUUAAUCUGCUUUGUGCGCCACAGUGCCAGCCCAAGGAUUUUUUCCAUAUAAUGAGCUAGAAAGUUGCCAAUGUUUGUCAAAAUUAACCCAUAUUCAUUUAUUGAGGAAAUGUUAAUGUGUUUACUCUGGUGAGAGGUAAAAUAGGCAAACCGAUGUAAUUUAUACAUCUUGAAGUGUUCAGUGUCACCAAAUUCAGAUUUUCUAAAUGCUUAUCUUCAUAAUCACUAUUCAUAUUUCCUUAAAUUACUUAAAUUCUUGAACCUUAAAGAAGAGUUGCCUACUCUAACUGAAAUUAAUUCAGGAUUGAACUUAAAAUUAGAAAAAUAUACUUGUCUCUCCAUUCUUUAGAGCAUGAUUUAAGUUUCUCUGUGGACAACACAAAGAGUUGUUUUUAAUUUGUGUAGACACCACGAAAGUCUACUAGUAAAAUAAUAUCCAUUUUCAUAAACUGAAACACUGUAAUAACAAGCAGGGAAACUUACAGCUUUAAAGGAAGACUUGCACUAUGUGCCUCCAGAAUAUGAGCCCAAAUAAACUCUUUUCCCUUAGAAAGGUAGACA